UUGAACGCUGGCGGAAUGCUUUACACAUGCAAGUCGAACGGUAGAGGGGGGCAACCUGGCGGCGAGCGGCGGACGGGUGAGUAACGCGUAGGAAUCUACCCAGUAGCGGGGGAUAGCCCGGGGAAACUCGGAUUAAUACCGCAUACGCCCUAAGGGGGAAAGUAGGGGAUCUUCGGACCUUGCACUAUUGGCAGAGCCUGCGUUGGAUUAGCUAGUUGGUAGGGUAAAGGCCUACCAAGGCAACGAUCCAUAACUGGUCUGAGAGGAUGAUCAGUCACACCGGAACUGAGACACGGUCCGGACUCCUACGGGAGGCAGCAGUGGGGAAUAUUGGACAAUGGGGGCAACCCUGAUCCAGCCAUGCCGCGUGUGUGAAGAAGGCCUUCGGGUUGUAAAGCACUUUAAGUGGGGAAAAAGGUUCGGCAGUUAAUACCUGUCGGAAUUGAUACUACCCACAGAAUAAGCACCGGCUAACUCUGUGCCAGCAGCCGCAGUAA
rnacentral:rRNA from 1 species